rnacentral:rRNA from 1 species
GACGAACGCUGGCGGCGUGCUUAACACAUGCAAGUCGAACGGAAAGGCCCCUUUGGGGGUACUCGAGUGGCGAACGGGUGAGUAACACGUGAGUAAACUGCACUUGUCUUCGGGGUAAAUUCAGGCAACUGGGGCUAAUACCGGAUAGAAAUCCUUGCUGCAUGGUGGGGGUUGGAAAGAUUCGGCGGUUUUGGAUGGACUCGCGGCUUAUCAGCUUGUUGGUGGGGUAGUGGCUUACCAAGGCGUUGACGGGUAGCCGGCCUGAGAGGGCGACCGGCCACAUUGGGACGGAGAUACGGCCCAGACUCCUACGGGAGGCAGCAGUGGGGAGUAUUGCACAAUGGGCGGAAGCCUGAUGCAGCAACGCCGCGUGCGGGAGUACGGACUUCGGGUUGUAAACCGCUUUCAGCAGGGGCGAAGCUUGUGGUGACGGUACCUUCAGAAGAAGCACCGGCUAACUACGUG